rnacentral:misc_RNA from 1 species
AUGUUCUUUACUGGUUUGCCUCCCA